rnacentral:rRNA from 1 species
CCUACGGGAGGCUGCAGUGGGGAAUAUUGCGCAAUGGGCGAAAGCCUGACGCAGCGACGCCGCGUGAGGGAUGAAGGUCUUCGGAUCGUAAACCUCUGUCAGCAGGGAAGAACGGUCACUGUGCUAAUCAGCCGUGAAUUGACGGUACCUGCAAAGGAAGCACCGGCUAACUCCGUGCCAGCAGCCGCGGUAAUACGGAGGGUGCGAGCGUUAAUCGGAAUUACUGGGCGUAAAGCGCUCGUAGGCGGUAUGGCAAGUCAAGGGUGAAAUCCCCGCGCUCAACGUGGGAACUGCCGUUGAAAGUGGCAAACUGGAGUGUGUGAGAGGAUAGUGGAAUGCCAGGUGUAGGAGUGAAAUCCGUAGAUAUCUGGAGGAACAUCAGUGGCGAAGGCGACUAUCUGGCACAUAACUGACGCUGAGGAGCGAAAGCGUGGGUAGCAAACAGGAUUAGAUACCCUUGUAGUC